rnacentral:rRNA from 1 species
GUGGGGAAUCUUCCGCAAUGGACGAAAGUCUGACGGAGCAACGCCGCGUGAGUGAUGAAGGUUUUCGGACUGUAAAGCUCUGUUGUUUAGGACGAAAGUGCCUGUUGCAAAUAGUUACAGGUAUUGACGGUACUGAACGAGGAAGCCACGGCUAACUACGUGCCAGCAGCCGCGGUAAUACGUAGGUGGCAAGCGUUGUCCGGAAUUAUUGGGCGUAAAGAGCAUGUAGGCGGGAAUCUAAGUCUGUUGUGAAAAUGCGGGGCUCAACCCCGUAUUGCGAUGGAAACUGGGUUUCUUGAGUGCAGGAGAGGAAAGGGGAAUUCCCAGUGUAGCGGUGAAAUGCGUAGAUAUUGGGAGGAACACCAGUGGCGAAGGCGCCUUUCUGGACUGUGUCUGACGCUGAGAUGCGAAAGCCAGGGUAGCGAACGGGAUUAGAAACCCUAGUAGUCC